GGCCCACGGACCAGCGAUCUGCCCGGGACAGCUGCGCCGGCUGGGUCCUCGGCGUCUUGCAGCCAACAGUUAGAGACACGUGCAUCCGGGACGCAGACUGGCUCAGCGCCCUCGGUAUUCCGGAUCCGAGGGAAGGAGCCCUCACAGAACAGAAGCGAUUGGUGAAGGGAAGUGCACAGAAUGUGGUGACAGUGCUCCUCUGACAGCCCCAGGUUUGGACCUUGCAAGGCCACAGCUGCAGCCCCUGCUGUCUUGGAACUCAGCUGUGAAGCUGUAAGGGAGUGGGGUCUGGCUUUCCAGAGGAAGAGACCCUAUGAAGAGAACAAUAAAAAAUAUCUAU